rnacentral:rRNA from 1 species
GAGUUUGAUCGUGGCUCAGAUUGAACGCUGGCGGCAUGCCUUACACAUGCAAGUCGAACGGCAGCACGGGAGCUUGCUCCUGGUGGCGAGUGGCGAGCGGGUGAGUAAUGCAUCGGAACGUAUCCUGGAGUGGGGGAUAACGUAGCGAAAGUUACGCUAAUACCGCAUAUUCUGCGAGCAGGAAAGCGGGGGACCUUCGGGCCUCGCGCUCUUGGAGCGGCCGAUGUCGGAUUAGCUAGUUGGUGAGGUAAAGGCUCACCAAGGCGACGAUCCGUAGCAGGUCUGAGAGGAUGAUCUGCCACACUGGAACUGAGACACGGUCCAGACUCCUACGGGAGGCAGCAUGGGGAAUUUUGGACAAUGGGGGCAACCCUGAUCCAGCCAUGCCGCGUGAGUGGAAGAAGGCCUCGGUGUAAGUACGUACUUCG